rfam:Triticum aestivum genome assembly, contig: Triticum_aestivum_CS42_TGACv1_scaffold_320515_4BL
UAAAUACUCCCUCCGUCCCGAAAUACUUGGCAGACAAAUGAAUGUAUCUAAAUGUAUUUUAGUUGUAGAUACAUCUAUUUUUAUCCAUUUCUUCGACAAGUAUUUUGGGAUGGAGGGAGUACAAG